GCCACCAGGGGCUCGGCUCCAGGCUUAGUUAAACGGUUUUUAUCUUCCAUAAAUCCUCCUAAGUUACUUUAAGGCUCAUCAGACCCCCUCAAUUGCUAUUUAAGUGUUUUUUCUGCACUAACUGCUUCUUGUUAAAUAGUUUGACAUUUAUGCGUCUAGACUUCGGUUGUUUUGAUAUUGAUUUGGCCCAGAAUGAUAAUGGAGGAGGCAGCAUUGGUUUUGCUGUCAUUGGCAGCAGCCGUAUAUCUCUGGGAAGUGGAUAUCUUUGUUAUUCUCUCAUACUGGAGCCCAGAGUGAAAACCAUGCAGGAUUCAGAAGGGGCUGCACCAUCCCAAAUGCCCCCCACCUCUUUGGGGCUGGGGAGAUGGUUAAAAAUAGAGGUUGUAGAUGGUGUCUCAGGUGAGGUUUCCUGACAGUUACCAAGCUGGUUCUCUCUAGAGGUAACAGAUGCCAGCAUCACAGGUGGGAGGUAGUGAGCAUCCACGGGGAUAGGGUAGCCAAAGAGGGGUGUUCGCAGCCACCUGAGCUUGCUGGGCCUUUCUUGCCUUAAGUUCCUUGUCUAUGCUUUUCCCUCAGAUUGGAGUGACCUUCUUUGCUUUGUCUUGCAAACUCCUACGCAUCCCUAAAUACCCCAAGUGGAUGCGCCCUUCCCAGGAGGUCUUCUUCAGCUUCCUAAUGAUGCAUGCAGUGAUGAAGGGGCCUCAGAAUCGUCCUUAGAGUCAGCCAGACCCUCCUUGCCACCUGCCUGGCUUACACUAGGCUGUGGCAAUUCUCAUGAUCCGAGCUACUGCUGCAGAUAUCAACCAGGGAGCUUGUGGCCAGAGAGUGAAAUCUCCGAUCAAUACCCGAGAACCGCGUGGAGCCACCAGCUGGGCGGCCUGGUGAGUCACGGCCCCAGGAGGGCGCGGGAAGCCCAGGUGCCCUCGAAGGCCGGCCCCUCUCCCCCUCCUCUCCUCCCCACCUCUGUUCUCAU
rnacentral:lncRNA from 1 species